AAUAAAUAAAUAAAACCUAGUCCUUUGAACACCACGCCUGCUGGCGGCUUGUUGGUUUCCAGCCACCAAGUUUGCCACAUGGCAUUCAGAGUCCAGCAGAAUCCUCUGAGAUACGGUUCUCUCAGGAUUUUAUUUGUGGAAAGAAAGCUCUUCCUUGUUUAAGCGCCUAAUAGAGGUAGAGUGUGGGCAAGAUCAGGUCCUGACCCCAAAGCUUACAGUCUUAUAAACAGCACCUGCACUGCUAAAGGCAAGAGGGUAGGACAUAUUUGGGGUGCAUCUAAAGAGAAGGGCCCUAGCAUGGCACCGGACGACAGUGCAGGAAAACGUGCUCAAAGAGCGGUCUGGAAUUACCCCAGCUCCACCGACAGGUUCCCAAUGCGCAGUCCCUUUCCCUCCCAUCUGCUAUAUUUUCUUCCCAAAACGAUCCCUCCGUGUUCCUUUCCUAGAGGGGUGUGAGCACGGGUCUGAUUCUCACCACCGACCUACGGAGACAGGACACGCAGGCAUUCUUACUCCAUUCUACAAGUGAAGAAAGUGGGACUCAAGAUGAUAAACAAGGGGCUGGGGAUUUAGCUCAGCGGCACAGCGCCUGCCUGGCAAGUGCAAGGUCGUGAGUUCAAUUCCUGGUACCGGUAAAAAAAAACAAAAAAACAAACAAACAAAAAAAAAGAUGAUAAACGACACUGCAUUUUCACAAGACUCACUCCACACCACCAAGCCUAGACUCUGGGCUUCUAGACCUCUCUGUUACUCCUUCCACGAAAUCAAAGAUUUCUUACUUCAUUUACAGUCCAGGCUGACCAAGCUCACCCCUCUUUCCUUCCUGCCGAGUUCCUUCUCUUAUCUACUUUCUUCCUCGUCUAUGCUGGUGCAGAAUGGAGGGCUUGAGGGAGGUCAGGACAGCCGCCCCACACAUAUUUCCUUGGCAGAUUUCAGGUUGGUUGUUCAGAGAAACUGCAGACCUCUGCACACACGGGAGGACUCUGAGACGCUCUCCUGUGGAAAAGGAGACGUACCCCUGUCUACGUGAGCGGAACAAGUGUGGCUAUAGAGAGAGGCCUUUUGAGAUCUGUACAUGGAAAGAAGAGAUGGAGUCUGACACCUGGACCAGACAUGCUCACCCCCAGUGGCUUUACCUGGGAGACUUUAUGUGUGUCACAAGACAGCACAGGCUGGCUGCACAACCCCUCCCCAGCUUGCCCCAGCCUGUGCCACCUCCCCGCCCCAUCAAGCCCAAGCUUGGGUCGCCUGGCUGUCCUCUUACUGGGUGACACUCUAUCCUCACUUUAUUCAGAGGCUCAGUGACUGACUAGCACGGGGAAGGGGGCGGGGAAGUUCCAUUGUCCCCUACCCCCAUGACCUGUCUAAUGAGGAUGCAUGCAAAUCUACAAUUUGAGGACAGAGUAAUACACAAUUGAAUGAAAGUCCGUCCACUUACACUACAUAAGCUCCUAAUCAAUUCAGUUCAAAGUCAACCCACACGGGGCACAUCAUAUAGCUUGGGAAUUUUCCAAAGGGAAUUUUGUUUAUAAUUUUGAAAGGAAGGGAGGGGUAGAAAAUAAUAGGAGUGAACAGUGCGGUCUGCCCCUUUUUUAUCUGUCCAGGAACAAAAUGUACUCCUAAAUAGCAGGAGCACAUGCUGUUUUUAUUUAACCAAUUAGUCACAGGUUAGAUGAAGCAACCUUUAAAAAAAAAAGUUACUGCAAGGAGGAUUUCACACUCUGAAGUUCAUCACCGGAGAAUGUCAGAGGGGAGAACUUCUGAAAGCAAAUCAGCAACUUCACAACCCUUUACUUAAUCGCCUGCACAGUUAAUGUGAAAGGAAAAAGACAGCUAUGUUAAGAAAGAAGGGGAUGUUUCCAAGCGUCCUCUAGGACAGGCAGGUCCGUGUGGCGUCAGCGAUGGUGGCUGUAAUUACACAAGCUCCUUAGGGGGAAACCUUCGGCACCAGGAACGUGUUUUGAAUUUAAACAGCAUCUAUCUUUGAUGAGAGUCUUCGUGUCCAUUUUUUAGAAAUUAGUGUGCACAAUAUCCCUUUGCACAUGCACGGUCACUGUGGGGUACUAGAAAAGAAAACUGUGUGAAGUCACAUAACACAACCGAUCACUACAAGGAGAUGUAUUCAUCUCCCUGAUUCGUACAGAUGUCCAGGUAAAAAGGAAAAUUAAAUUAAUGGUUCUGCUCAUUCACCGCUCUAUUACUGUGCAACUUUUUGCUGGUUCACAAGGGGUAUCAGAUGUCUCUUAAAGCACCUAAAGUCUCUAUAUUACUAUGGUAACAACACACUCCCACCUAGUAAGUGAAAAUAUAAAUUUCCAGACAGUGUGAGUGUGUUUUUGAUUUCGACUGUAGAUAUCCCUGUUGUUCAUUCUUCGAGUCCACCUUUAGAUUUCAGGGUUUAAGGUUUUGUGAUUCUUCUGAAUCAUACUUAGUGGAUGCAAUUUAAAAACGUAUUAGAUAUAAAAACUUGGGGCUAUUAAAUUCCUGCUAUCAGAAAAAUAGUGGAAUCUGAAACACGUAACUAACAAUGUUGCUAGCAUGUUACUAACAAUGUAAAGCAAUGCAAACUUGAGGAAGACAUACCUUGCUCCUUUUUUUCUUUAAGGAAGCUAUGCAAUUAGAAAAGAUUUAGAAAAAAAGAAAAAACAAGGCACCGGCUGGUAGGAAAUGUGGAGGAAGGGGACACAGCGCCGUGGGUAAGAGAGUAACCAGUACAACUUACUUGGAGAUACAGCUCUGCGAAGAACCCCAGGGGUUUCUCCAUGGAAUGAGGACAGAGCUCAGCCCAGGUUCCAAGCGCGCUGCUCACCUGACUCACCGAGUCCUCCCUACAGGCUGUGAAGCGGCCCUGGGGUGCCCCGUCUCCCAGGAGAAAGUGGAAGGACAGAGCUGCAGCGAUUUGCCAGAUAACCCAGCCCAGCCAGAACUGGAACCCAGGCACUGUGAUCCAGGGCCUGAGGUCACCCCAGGGCCUGAGGAUGUUAUUAAAAUGCCAUUGUUACAUACAAAUACAGAACUUAAAGCUUA